AUGAGCUGUGGGGGUGACUCAGUAAAUUACCAAGUCAAAUGAUGUAAGCCCUCACCCAACUCCCUCUUGCCCUCUCACAAUGCUACCACUGUUCUAUGUUGUUGACAUGGGUGUGCAGUGUAAGUGAAAAAAUUAAGUCCCACAAGCUGAGAUAGUCUAUUCCUAUCAAUAAUCAACCAAUUUCAGAAAGUUCAUACAAUGAUGAUAAUUUGGUAGUCCAGUCAGAAUUGGUUUGAUGAAAAAUGUCUGGAUUUGCCCAAUUUUAUUUCACACUGAAAAUCUUCCAGUUUACUUGGAAUUAAAUCAAAGGUCUCAGUGAUGUUGGCCAUCAGAAGAAAGUCUUCACGUAAAUUGCAAGUCAAACAAACAAAAACGAUAUCUGCACACCAACACUUCUUAAUUUUAAAAAGUUUUGAAUAGCUCAAAUGGGCAUAUAAUUUAAACACUAUUCCUGUUAGGAAGAAACAGAUCCAAUCGUUAGCUUGACUUCAUUGUGAUGUUUCACAAUUCCUUCUGUAGGUGCUUGGCUGAGGUUCAAAGGAUAGAAGAUCACUACCAUUGGUCCUGGUUGGUGUCAAGCUUCGAGUGUUGGAGGUGCUGCAUUUACCCAAGCAAAUGUUGGGCUCAAGAGGAAAACUGCCUGCUCUCCUCUCAAACAGUGCCAAAAGAUUCUUCAUACAACCUUAAAAGGACAAAGGAGCUUUUAGUUAAAACCUCAUGAGAAGAACUCAACACAAAUCAACAAUAUUCUGAUUCAGAGCCAGCCACACACACUGCUGAGCUUCCUCACAACUGAACAGCAACUAAAUUUGAAGAUAAAAUACUGGGGUAAUCUCCAACUCAUGCCAUUUCCUACUUGUUCUGCUCUGAAACUGUCUCAAAACUAAAGGUUCAAGAGAGUGGAACAUUGCAGCACAGACAAAUCUGUGGGCAUGUACACACAGAGGGGCCAACACAGAAAUCUACAUUCCAGACAGACAACAUAUGGAGAAGUUACAAGGUUACAAAUAACCAUUCCUGAAAUGGGGCUGGUGGGGGAAGCCAACAUAACACAAUAGAUGGCACGAUCACAUGAAGGACUGGACUAAUUGUUCUGGUGACUUGGCCUGUCCAGAGAAAUAAUUCCAAGAAACCCAGUGCACGUUUGUAAGACAAUAUAAUAAAAAGUUAAAAGGAUAUAUAUGGAUAUCUACGUACCGAUUUCUUGGCCUU